rnacentral:rRNA from 1 species
CACGUAGGGGACGAGCGUUGUCCGGAUUCAUUGGGCGUAAAGCGCGCGCAGGCGGCUUGGUAAGUCGGGUGUGAAAACUCGGGGCUCAACCCCGGGCGUGCAUCCGAUACUGCCAGGCUUGAGGCAGGUAGGGGAGAUCGGAAUUCCUGGUGUAGCGGUGAAAUGCGCAGAUAUCAGGAGGAACACCGAUGGCGAAGGCAGGUCUCUGGGCCGUAACUGACGCUGAGGAGCGAAAGCAUGGGGAGCGAACAGG